rnacentral:rRNA from 1 species
AGAUUCCCUCAGUAACGGCGAGCGAAGAGGGAUAAGCUCAAAUUUUAAAUCUGUUGGGUUUCACUUAACAGAGUUGUAUUUUGAAGAAACGUUUUCUGCGUCCAGGAUUAGCCUAAAUCCUUUGGGAUAAGGUAUCAUGGAGGGUGAGAAUCCCGUUCAUGGUUAAUCUUAAGGAAGCUCUACGAUACGUUUUCCAAGAGUCGAGUUGUUUGGGAUUGCAGCUCAAAAUGGGAGGUAAAUUUCUCCUAAGGCUAAAUAUUGGCGAGAGACCGAUAGCGAACAAGUACCGUGAGGGAAAGAUGAAAAGAACUUUGAAAAGAGAGUUAAACAGUACGUGAAAUUGUUGAAAGGGAAACGAUUGAAGUCAGUCAUACCAACGGGAAAUCAACCUUUUGAGCUCGGUCUCGUGGGUUUUGAAGAGUUUCAAAGCCUUCGGAUUCGCGGGAUUGGGAUCUCUCGGUGUACUUUUUCGUACGGUUAGUCAACAUCGGUUUUGAAUGUCAUAAAAUGACUGGAGGAAUGUAGCUUCGAUCUCGCUAUUGAAGUGUUAUAGCCUUUGGUAGAUGUGAUGUUUGAGACCGAGGAUUGCAACGGAUACCCUUCAGGGCUAUUCGUCUGAUCUCUGAUACGUUGCCUUGAUGUUGAAAGCUUGCUUAUGAUGUUAGGGUAUUACGGUCAAAAGGUUAGAACGAAUUACAUUCGUUAAGGAUGUUGACGUAAUGACUUUAAACGACC